GGAGAGGUGUCCGAGUGGUUUAAGGUGCACGCCUGGAAAGUGUGUAUGGGCGAAAGUCCAUCGGGGGUUCGAAUCCCCCCUUCUCCGCCA
rnacentral:tRNA from 2 species